GCCCGUUUAGUGUAGCCAGGUCUAUCAUCUGGGACUGUCACUCCUAGGACUCGGGUUCGAAUCCCGGAACGGGCGCCA
rnacentral:tRNA from 1 species